UACACACCGCCCGUCACAUCACGGGAGUUGGUUUUGCCCGAAGACGGUGUGCUAACCCGCAAGGGAGGCAGCCGGCCACGGUAAGGUCAGCGACUGGGAUG
rnacentral:rRNA from 1 species